rnacentral:rRNA from 1 species
AGAUCAAAUUGUUGGUCGUGCCUUGGUACGUACUGGCAUUAUUGAUAUCUCCCUUCUGAAGAACCACGAUGUCAUUAAUUUGGUGUCAUGGGGAAUCAGGACUGUUACUUUGAAAAAAUUAGAGUGUUUAAAGCAGGCUAACGCUUGAAUACAUUAGCAUGGAAUAAUGAAAUAGGACGUUUGAUCUUAUUUUGUUGGUUCUGAGACCAAAGUA